GAGGGUAAAAGUAUUAGCUCUAAUUAAAUGCACCAGAUGCUGGGCAUUUAAAUCGUAGUGUGGGACUUUUGGGUGGUCUGCUUCUUUUACUAACAGAAAAACAUGAAAUUGAUGGGGCGAAGCACACUCUUAUAAACUGCGAUCUAAAGUUUGAUUUUGAUUUCUCAAAGAGGGUCUUCGAGAGUGACUAUUGUGGACUCUCAAGGUCUGAAAUUGGUGUAAUAAAGGGUUUGGUUUUGGAGUUAUGCAGUGAGGUUUAAUUGGUUAGAAGGGGCAAGGAAAGGGUUUUUUAAAUUUAUUCAAAGUAAAACCUGCCUUUCUUUGUUUCAUCUAGCCCUCGUCUUUUAUCAUUAUGCUAUGUAUAUCGUCCUUAAUAUUCUCUUGCACUUGUCAGAGAUAUGGCGAAGUAACCAAGCAAAGACUUGAUCUUGCUGUUCUGGUCUUCUUUCAACAUUUUAGGAAGUCUUAUGUGGGAGUUCAAGCAAUGCAUUCUUCUAAGGUAAACCAAUUUAAAGUUUGACCUUCCAUUUGGAAAGUGGGAGAAGAAGCAAGCAUCACAAGCUCCAUAGUUGGAGACAAAAAAGAACAAUGGGGUUCCUACUUUAGCUUGGUGAUUCAUCUUAGAGCGAUUGCGAUGUCGAAGUUCUCUCUCUCUACCGAUUUCGAAGCUCCACCGCCGCUAGCAUCGUCUACUAAGGUUUCUUCACCAAUUCUCAUUGUCAAGAGAGCAGGGUCUUAUGCUUGGACACAAAAGCUAGAGAGUUCGAGAAGAGUUUGCAUGUACAGUCACAUUAGCAAUUGGUCUUUUUGCAUCUACUGAGCUCCCUCUUCGGCGUGGUAUUCUUCCUCAUACCGAGAGGAUUGAAGGCCAUGGGAAGCAGCAUGGAGAGCGAUUCAGAAUGACGGUGAAGGAUGGAUGGGGCUUUCCUUUAGAUUUUUAUUUCUCUUCUUUUUUCCUUCUUUUUUUAUUUCUUUCUUUUUUCCCUCUAAUUUGAUUGGGGGUUGGGU